CCGCAGAGGCUCCGGCUGUGGUCGCAGCAGGCUGGAGAGGCUGAAGAGAGUGCUGGAUACGCUGACCAGCAGCCAAUCCCCGUCCAGGGCCCGCGGGCAGUUCUGCUCCGGACUCAGACUUCUAGCCCACUUCGCCGAGGCAGGGAACGGGAUGAAGCGGCUCAUCUCGCAGUGUGGGGCGGAGGCGCCUGCGGGGUACCGCCUGAAGGCGGCCAGGAGCAUUCCCGCCGGGUCUGCAGAACCGAAAAGGGUGUAACGGUAGCCCGGACUGGAAAUGUGCUGACUACACACAGGCCGGAAGGCACAAACUAGCAAAGUAGUGAACGACUUAGAGAGCAUCCAAACGUAUUUACAAAAGGGAAAACUGAGGCCCAGCGUCCCUGCGUGAGCUAAGAGGAGGCGACAGAUGCAGACAGGCCACCCCCACCUGCAUCCUCCACGAACCAGCACUCGAUCGCCUCUGGUCCAGCCGAGACGACGGAGACGACGGUCGCUAGGCCUGGGGAGAGGGGCUCGGCUGGGGUGAGGAACUGGAAAUUCCCCGAUCUGGUCAGGUGAGGGCGUGACUGCGCGUUGGAGGAACGCCGCCCACAGGGGCCAAACAGAGUUGCCGAAACCCUGUCUGUAGCUCUCCAGCCACUCCUCGCCCUGCACCCACCCCCUUGGCUCACCGGACUGCGCCAACUUUGAGCCCUUUAUCAGCCUAGACUCCGCCCUCCUGCUGUGCCCUCUCCGCGCCACCUCCCUUAAAACCACACUCCCGCGUUCCCAGACCUGUGCCAGGUCCCAGCAAACAGAGGGGUGUUGGGAAGCCAAGUGAAGUGACCAAUAAAUAUUUUAAUCACCGUUAAAAAGAAAGAUCUUAUUCCCGUCGCUGUUGCCUGUCCCUCCAGGAGCCCCACCAGAGCCACUUGGUAUGCCCAGCCCCACCGCAGAGGUGCCCCCGAGGGUCACUGCCCCGUGCUCAGCUGUGUUCCCUGGUGGCUGGCCUGGAGCCUGUGAAGAGGAGGAUGGGAAAACCAAGAUCUGGUUGCCCGGCACAUCCAAUGGAAGGAGGGGUCGUGGAGGGCUCGGUCAAGGUCCGAACAUCACUGAUACUGAGGGUAGCCUCGGGCUCUCCCCCUGCAGGAACCCCAGAGCCGCCUCCCAUUUCUUCAUCCUCAUCAUCCUCACAAGUCAACACCAGAUCUUCCUCCUCUUCCUCAUCUUCUAGAUCGGGGUCUUGGUGGACCAGGGAGGCUGGUGCAGGGCAAUUUCUAGCUUGCUUCACAUACACCCAGUGUUUCUGUGGCACUGCA
rnacentral:lncRNA from 1 species